rnacentral:rRNA from 1 species
UCAGAACGAACGCUGGCGGCGUGGAUAAGACAUGCAAGUCGAACGAGAGAAUUGCUAGCUUGCUAAUAAUUCUCUAGUGGCGCACGGGUGAGUAACACGUGAGUAACCUGCCCCCGAGAGCGGGAUAGCCCUGGGAAACUGGGAUUAAUACCGCAUAGUAUCGAAAGAUUAAAGCAGCAAUGCGCUUGGGGAUGGGCUCGCGGCCUAUUAGUUAGUUGGUGAGGUAACGGCUCACCAAGGCGAUGACGGGUAGCCGGUCUGAGAGGAUGUCCGGCCACACUGGAACUGAGACACGGUCCAGACACCUACGGGUGGCAGCAGUCGAGAAUCAUUCACAAUGGGGGAAACCCUGAUGGUGCGACGCCGCGUGGGGGAAUGAAGGUCUUCGGAUUGUAAACCCCUGUCAUGUGGGAGCAAAUUAAAAAGAUAGUACCACAAGAGGAAGAGACGGCUAACUCUGUGCCAGCAGCCGCGGUAAUACAGAGGUCUCAAGCGUUGUUCGGAAUCACUGGGCGUAAAGCGUGCGUAGGCUGUUUCGUAAGUCGUGUGUG